rnacentral:tRNA from 1 species
GGGGCCGUAGUUCAGUUGGGAGAACGUCGGAUUUGCAUUCCGAAGGUCAGGGGUUCAAAUCCCCUCGGCUCCA